rnacentral:rRNA from 1 species
GAUGAACGCUGGCGGCGUGCUUAACACAUGCAAGUCGAACGAGAAGUGAAGACGGAAACCUUCGGGCGGAAGGCUUUAUUUCGAGUGGCGGACGGGUGAGUAACGCGUGGGUAACCUGCCUCAUACAGGGGGAUAACAGUUGGAAACGACUGUUAAUACCGCAUAAGACCACAGCACCGCAUGGUGCGGGGGUAAAAACUCCGGUGGUAUGAGAUGGACCCGCGUUCGAUUAGCCAGUUGGCGGGGUAACGGCCCACCAAAGCGACGAUCGAUAGCCGAUCUGAGAGGAUGACCGGCCACAUUGGGACUGAGACACGGCCCAAACUCAUACGGGAGGCAGCAGUGGGGAAUAUUGCACAAUGGGGGAAACCCUGAUGCAGCGACGCCGCGUGAGUGAAGAAGUAUUUCGGUAUGUAAAGCUCUAUCAGCAGGGAAGAAAAUGACGGUACCUGAGUAAGAAGCCCCGGCUAACUACGUG